UACGAAGGGGGCUAGCGUUGUUCGGAAUUACUGGGCGUAAAGCGCGCGCAGGCGGUUUUUCAAGUCAGUGGUGAAAGCCCGGAGCUCAACUCCGGAACUGCCAUUGAAACUGUGAGACUCGAGGAUGAGAGAGGUGAGUGGAAUUCCCAGUGUAGAGGUGAAAUUCGUAGAUAUUGGGAAGAACACCGGUGGCGAAGGCGGCUCACUGGCUCAUUUCUGACGCUCAGGCGCGACAGCGUGGGGAUCAAACAGG
rnacentral:rRNA from 1 species